GAAAUAUAUUACAUUAAGCUGCUAACUUAAUUUAUAGUGAUUAAUAUCAUUAAUAUUUCU
rnacentral:tRNA from 1 species